CGCGGACAGUGCCUGGUGGGUAGUUUGACUGGGGCGGUCUCCUCCCAAAGAGUAACGGAGGAGCACGAAGGUUGGCUAAUCCUGGUCGGACAUCAGGAGGUUAGUGCAAUGGCAUAAGCCAGCUUAACUGCGAGACGGACAGGUCGAGCAGGUACGAAAGUAGGUCAUAGUGAUCCGGUGGUUCUGAAUGGAAGGGCCAUCGCUCAACGGAUAAAAGGUACUCCGGGGAUAACAGGCUGAUACCGCCCAAGAGUUCAUAUCGACGGCGGUGUUUGGCACCUCGAUGUCGGCUCAUCACAUCCUGGGGCUGAAGUCGGUCCCAAGGGUAUGGCUGUUCGCCAUUUAAAGUGGUACGCGAGCUGGGUUCAGAACGUCGUGAGACAGUUCGGUCCCUAUCUGCCGUGGGCGUUGGAUGAUUGAAGGGAGUUGCUCCUAGUACGAGAGGACCGGAGUGAACGAACCUCUGGUGUUCGGGUUGUCACGCCAGUGGCACUGCCCGGUAGCUAAGUUCGGAAUCGAUAACCGCUGAAAGCAUCUAAGCGGGAAGCGAGCCCUGAGAUGAGUCAUCCCUGACCCCUUGAGGGUCCUAAAGGGCCGUUGGAGACCACAACGUUGAUAGGUGGGGUGUGUAAGCGCGGCGACGUGUUGAGCUAACCCAUACUAAUUACCCGUGAGGCUUAACCAUACAACACCCAAGAAGUGUUCUG
rnacentral:rRNA from 2 species